CAGCCGCCGCGGUAAUACGAAGGGUGCAAGCGUUAAUCGGAAUUACUGGGCGUAAAGCGUGCGUAGGCGGUGAGUUAAGUCUGCUGUGAAAUCCCCGGGCUCAACCUGGGAAUGGCAGUGGAUACUGGCUCGCUAGAGUGUGUCAGAGGAUGGUGGAAUUCCCGGUGUAGCGGUGAAAUGCGUAGAGAUCGGGAGGAACACCAACGGCGAAAGCACUCUGCUGGGCCGACACUGACACUGAGAGGCGAAAGCUAGGGGAGCGAAUGGGAUUAGAUACCCCUGUAGUCCCUGUCUCUUAUAC
rnacentral:rRNA from 1 species